rnacentral:misc_RNA from 1 species
GUGAAUCAUCGAAUUUUUGAACGCAAAUUGCACUCUCCUCGGAGAGUAUGCCUGUUUGAGGGUCAGCCUAUAAAAAAUCGACAUCGUUGCUGUUUUGCGGUGGCGCUCGUCGGAAAUUGUGUCAUCAUAAAUCUUUUGGUUUUAGGCGACUUAAUAUUUUCUUUUUGAUUCCAUGAACGUAUCUAAGAUUUAUUUCUUUACACUUUUAAGGUAUCGAUUUUUAUUAGACGUGUC